UGCCUACGGGGCGCAGCAGUAGGGAAUUUUCGGCAAUGGGGGGAACCCUGACCGAGCAACGCCGCGUGAAGGAAGAAGGAAUUCGUUCUGUAAACUUCUGUUAUAAAGGAAGAAAGGCGGAUGAAGGAAAUGACAUCCGAGUGACGGUACUUUAUGAGAAAGCCACGGCUAACUACGUGCCAGCAGCCGCGGUAAUACGUAGGGAGCGAGCGUUAUCCGGAUUUAUUGGGUGUAAAGGGUGCGUAGGCGGCUUCUUAAGUCUGUAGUCUAAGCCCGGAGCUUAACUCCGGUUCGCUACAGAAACU
rnacentral:rRNA from 1 species